rnacentral:rRNA from 1 species
GACGAACGCUGGCGGCGUGCUUAACACAUGCAAGUCGAACGGAAAGGCCCUGCUUUUGUGGGGUGCUCGAGUGGCGAACGGGUGAGUAACACGUGAGUAACCUGCCCUUGACUUUGGGAUAACUUCAGGAAACUGGGGCUAAUACCGGAUAGGAGCUCCUGCUGCAUGGUGGGGGUUGGAAGGUUUCGACGGUUGGGGAUGGACUCGCGGCUUAUCAGCUUGUUGGUGGGGUAGUGGCUUACCAAGGCUUUGACGGGUAGCCGGCCUGAGAGGGUGACCGGCCACAUUGGGACUGAGAUACGGCCCAGACUCCUACGGGAGGCAGCAGUGGGGAAUAUUGCACAAUGGGCGGAAGCCUGAUGCAGCAACGCCGCGUGCGGGAUGACGGCCUUCGGGUUGUAAACCGCUUUCGCCUGUGACGAAGCGUGAGUGACGGUAAUGGGUAAAGAAGCACCGGCUAACUACGUG